rnacentral:piRNA from 1 species
AGGCAGUUCUGACCACAAAGGGAAGGUGA